AGUGAACGCUGGCGGUAGGCCUAACACAUGCAAGUCGAACGGCAGCACAGUAAGAGCUUGCUCUUACGGGUGGCGAGUGGCGGACGGGUGAGGAAUACAUCGGAAUCUAUUUUUUCGUGGGGGAUAACGUAGGGAAACUUACGCUAAUACCGCAUACGACCUACGGGUGAAAGCAGGGGAUCUUCGGACCUUGCGCGAUUGAAUGAGCCGAUGUCGGAUUAGCUAGUUGGCGGGGUAAAGGCCCACCAAGGCGACGAUCCGUAGCUGGUCUGAGAGGAUGAUCAGCCACACUGGAACUGAGACACGGUCCAGACUCCUACGGGAGGCAGCAGUGGGGAAUAUUGGACAAAGGGCGCAAGCCUGAUCCAGCCAUACCGCGUGGGUGAAGAAGGCCUUCGGGUUGUAAAGCCCUUUUGUUGGGAAAGAAAAGCAGCAGGUUAAUACCCCGCUGUUCUGACGGUACCCAAAGAAUAAGCACCGGCUAACUUCGUG
rnacentral:rRNA from 1 species